UGGCUCAGAACGAACGCUGGCGGCAGGUCUUAGGCAUGCAAGUCGAACGGAUGACAAGAGAGCUUGCUCUCUGAAGUCAGUGGCGCACGAGUGAGUAACGCGUGGGAAACUGCCCUUCACUGGGGAAUAACGUUUGGAAACGAACGCUAAUACCGCGAUACGCCCGGCAAGGGGAAAGAUUUAUCGGUGAUGGAUGUGCCCGCGUUGGAUUAGCCAGUUGGUGGGGUAAUGGCCUACCAAAGCAAUGAUCCAUAGCUGGUCUGAGAGGACGAUCAGCCACGCUGGAACUGAGACACGGUCCAGGCUCCUACGGGAGGCAGGCAGCUAAGAAGUAUUGGGCAAUGGAGGAAACUCUGACCCAGCCCAUGCCGCGUGAAUGAAGAAGGCCUUCGGGUUGUAAAGUUCUUUUAGUCAUGAAGAUGAUGACAGUAGUGACAGAAAAAGCACCGGCUAACUUCGUGCCAGCCGCCGC
rnacentral:rRNA from 1 species